rnacentral:rRNA from 1 species
GGGUUGUGAGGUUAAGCGACUAAGCGUACACGGUGGAUGCCCUGGCAGUCAGAGGCGAUGAAGGGCGUGCUAAUCUGCGAUAAGCGCCGGUAAGGUGAUAUGAACCGUUAUAACCGGCGAUACCCGAAUGGGGAAACCCAGUGUGACUCGUCACACUAUCAUUAACUGAAUCCAUAGGUUAAUGAGGCGAACCGGGGGAACUGAAACAUCUAAGUACCCCGAGGAAAAGAAAUCAACCGAGAUUCCCCCAGUAGCGGCGAGCGAACGGGGAGGAGCCCAGAGCCUGAAUCAGCAUGUGUGUUAGUGGAAGCGUCUGGAAAGGCGCGCGAUACAGGGUGACAGCCCCGUACACAAAAGCGCAUGUGCUGUGAGCUCGAUGAGUAGGGCGGGACACGUGGUAUCCUGUCUGAAUAUGGGGGGACCAUCCUCCAAGGCUAAAUACUCCUGACUGACCGAUAGUGAACCAGUACCGUGAGGGAAAGGCGAAAAGAACCCCGGCGAGGGGAGUGAAAAAGAACCUGAAACCGUGUACGUACAAGCAGUGGGAGCCCCACCACCAAAGCAUUUGCUGUACCGCGUUGACGGAGCGAAGCGACGUCAAACCGAUAAAACAGCAGUGUAAAGUGAGCCGCAGGGCGCUUUGCGCGACAGCGCAAAGGCAGGCGGUUUCGCGCAGCGAAAGCGAAUGCUUUGGGGUGGGGUGACUGCGUACCUUUUGUAUAAUGGGUCAGCGACUUAUAUUCUGUAGCAAGGUUAACCGAAUAGGGGAGCCGGAGGGAAACCGAGUCUUAAUUGGGCGUUAAGUUGCAGGGUAUAGACCCGAAACCCGGUGAUCUAGCCAUGGGCAGGUUGAAGGUUGGGUAACACUAACUGGAGGACCGAACCGACUAAUGUUGAAAAAUUAGCGGAUGACCUGUGGCUGGGGGUGAAAGGCCAAUCAAACCGGGAGAUAGCUGGUUCUCCCCGAAAGCUAUUUAGGUAGCGCCUCGUGAAUUCAUCUCCGGGGGUAGAGCACUGUUUCGGCUAGGGGGCCAUCCCGGCUUACCAACCCGAUGCAAACUGCGAAUACCGGAGAAUGUUAUCACGGGAGACACACGGCGGGUGCUAACGUCCGUCGUGAAGAGGGAAACAACCCAGACCGCCAGCUAAGGUCCCAAAGUCAUGGUUAAGUGGGAAACGAUGUGGGAAGGCCCAGACAGCCAGGAUGUUGGCUUAGAAGCAGCCAUCAUUUAAAGAAAGCGUAAUAGCUCACUGGUCGAGUCGGCCUGCGCGGAAGAUGUAACGGGGCUAAACCAUGCACCGAAGCUGCGGCAGCGACACUCAGGUGUUGUUGGGUAGGGGAGCGUUCUGUAAGCCUGUGAAGGUGUGUCGUGAGGC